GUGAUUUGUAGUAGUAUGGUGGAGGAGGAGACGGUGAUGGUGGUGGUGGGGACUUGUAGUAGUAUGGUGGAGGAGGAGAUGGCGAUGGUGGUGGAGGAGACUUGUAGUAGUAGGGAGGUGGAGGUGACGGGGAUGGUGGUGGUGGUGAUUUGUAGUAGUAUGGAGGUGGGGGUGAUGGCGAUGGUGGUGGAGGAGACUUGUAGUAGUAUGGUGGUGGGGUGGUGGUGGGGAUUUGUAGUAGUAUGGUGGAGGAGGAGAUGGGGAAGGUGGUGGUGGGGAUUUGUAGUAGUAUGGUGGAGGAGGAGAUGGGGAAGGUGGUGGUGGAGACUUGUAGUAGUAUGGUGGAGGAGGAGAUGGAGAUGGUGGGGGUGGUGAUUUGUAGUAGUAGGGAGGUGGAGGUGAUGGGGAUGGUGGUGGUGGGGAUUUGUAGUAGUAUGGUGGAGGAGGAGAUGGGGAAGGUGGUGGUGGGGAUUUGUAGUAGUAUGGUGGAGGAGGAGAUGGGGAAGGUGGUGGUGGGGAUUUGUAGUAGUAUGGUGGAGGAGGAGAUGGGGAAGGUGGUGGUGGGGAUUUGUAGUAGUAUGGUGGAGGAGGAGAUGGGGAAGGUGGUGGUGGGGAUUUGUAGUAGUAUGGUGGAGGAGGAGAUGGGGAAGGUGGUGGUGGGGAUUUGUAGUAGUAUGGUGGAGGAGGAGAUGGCGAUGGUGGUGGAGGAGACUUGUAGUAGUAAGGAGGUGGAGGUGAUGGAGAUGGUGGUGGAGGAGAUUUGUAGUAGUAUGGAGGUGGCGGUGAUGGAGAUGGUGGUGGAGGAGAUUUGUAAUAGUAUGGUGGUGGAGGAGAUGGGUCUGGUGGUGGUGGAGACUUGUAGUAGUAUGGUGGAGGAGGAGAUG
rnacentral:lncRNA from 1 species